rnacentral:rRNA from 1 species
UUUUGAGUUUGAUCGUGGCUCAGGACGAACGCUGGCGGCGUGCCUAAUACAUGCAAGUUGAGCGCUGAAGGUUGGUACUUGUACCGACUGGAUGAGCAGCGAACGGGUGAGUAACGCGUGGGGAAUCUGCCUUUGAGCGGGGGACAACAUUUGGAAACGAAUGCUAAUACCGCAUAAAAACUUUAAACACAAGUUUUAAGUUUGAAAGAUGCAAUUGCAUCACUCAAAGAUGAUCCCGCGUUGUAUUAGCUAGUUGGUGAGGUAAAGGCUCACCAAGGCGAUGAUACAUAGCCGACCUGAGAGGGUGAUCGGCCACAUUGGGACUGAGACACGGCCCAAACUCCUACGGGAGGCAGCAGUAGGGAAUCUUCGGCAAUGGACGAAAGUCUGACCGAGCAACGCCGCGUGAGUGAAGAAGGUUUUCGGAUCGUAAAACUCUGUUGGUAGAGAAGAACGUUGGUGAGAGUGGAAAGCUCAUCAAGUGACGGUAACUACCCAGAAAGGGACGGCUAACUACGUGCCAGCCGCCGCCGUAACACAA